GUGGGUUGUGGCUCAGUGGUAGAGCACUUGCCUAGCAUGUGUGAGGCACUGGGUUCAAUCCUCAGCACCACA
rnacentral:tRNA from 1 species